rnacentral:rRNA from 1 species
AUUGAACGCUGGCGGCAGGCCUAACACAUGCAAGUCGAGCGGAUGAAGGGAGCUUGCUCCUGGAUUCAGCGGCGGACGGGUGAGUAAUGCCUAGGAAUCUGCCUGGUAGUGGGGGAUAACGUCCGGAAACGGGCGCUAAUACCGCAUACGUCCUGAGGGAGAAAGUGGGUGAUCUUCGGACCUCACGCUAUCAGAUGAGCCUAGGUCGGAUUAGCUAGUUGGUGGGGUAAAGGCCUACCAAGGCGACGAUCCGUAACUGGUCUGAGAGGAUGAUCAGUCACACUGGACCUGAGACACGGUCCAGACUCCUACGGGGGGAAGAAGUGGGGAAUAUUGGACAAUGGGCGAAAGCCUGAUCCAGCAAUGCCGCGUGUGUGAAGAAGGUCUUCGGAUUUUAAAGCACUUUAAGUUGGGAGGAAGGGCAGUAAGUUAAUACCUUGCUGUUUUGACGUUACCAACAGAAUAAGCACCGGCUAACUUCGUG